rnacentral:rRNA from 1 species
UACGUAGAAGACUAGUGUUAGUCAUCUUUAUUAGGUUUAAAGGGUACCUAGACGGUAAAUAACACUUGAGUAGAGUACUUAUUUACUAGAGUUUUAUGUGAGAAGGAAGAACUUCUGGAUAGUGAUAGAAUACGCUGAUACCAGAGGGACUGGUAACGGCGAAGGCAUCCUUCUAUGUAAAAACUGACGUUGAAGGGACGAAGGCGUUGGGUAGCAAGAAGG